AUUGAACGCUGGCGGUAUGCCUUACACAUGCAAGUCGAACGGUAGAGGGGCAACCCUUGAGAGUGGCGAACGGGUGAGUAAUACAUCGGAACGUGCCCAGUCGUGGGGGAUAACGUAGCGAAAGCUACGCUAAUACCGCCUACGACCCGAGGGUGAAAGCGGGGGACUCGCAAGGGCCUCGCGCGCUUUGAGCGGCCGAUGGCAGAGUAGGUAGUUGGUGGGGUAAAGGCGCACCAAGCCUGCGAUCUGUAGCUGGUCUGAGAGGACGACCGGCCGCACUGUGACUGAGACACGGCCCAGACUCCUACGGGAGGCAGCAGUGGGGAAUUUUGGACAAUGGGCGAAAGUCUGAUCCAGCCAGACCGCGUGCGGGAAGAAGGCCCUCGGGUUGUAAACCGCUUUUGUCAGGGAAGAAAUCUUCUGGGUUAAUACCUCGGGAGGAUGACGGUACCUGAAGAAUAAGCACCGGCUAACUACGUGCCAGCCGCCGCAGUAA
rnacentral:rRNA from 1 species